CCUACGGGUGGCAGCAGUGAGGAAUAUUGGUCAAUGGGCGGGAGCCUGAACCAGCCAAGUCGCGUGAGGGAAGACGGUCCUAUGGAUUGUAAACCUCUUUAGGCGGGGAGCAAUGCCGGGCACGCGUGCCCGGAGGGAGAGUACCCGCAGAAUAAGCAUCGGCUAACUCCGUGCCAGCAGCCGCGGUAAUACGGAGGAUGCGAGCGUUAUCCGGAUUUAUUGGGUUUAAAGGGUGCGCAGGCGGAGGUGCAAGUCAGCGGUCAAAUUGCGGGGCUCAACCCCGUACUGCCGUUGAAACUGCAUCCCUUGAGUGCGCGAGAAGUAUGCGGAAUGCGUGGUGUAGCGGUGAAAUGCAUAGAUAUCACGCAGAACUCCGAUUGCGAAGGCAGCAUACCGGCGCGCAACUGACGCUCAUGCACGAAAGCGUGGGUAUCGAACAGGAUUAGAUACCCCUGUAGUC
rnacentral:rRNA from 1 species